rnacentral:lncRNA from 1 species
AAAAAUCUUUUCGUUUGCCUACACUGGUCCGAGGUUUUCUCUGUGGAAAUGUUGUUUGGUAGCGACGAACUUGUCAGCAUAGGUUGGUUGGUAAAAUGAUUUCGACAGAUACAGUAUCAUUUAGAAUCGAGAGACUCGUAAUGGGAAAACUAUGCUUGUUAAAUUUGUCGAAUUUUUAUUACGAGCAACGAUCUGUAAUCUAUAUCACUUACUUAGCGUUGAAUGAAAAUUAAACAACUUUUAUGAAGGUUCGUCGAUUGUUUAAUACGACGAAUAUAUCAUUAUAAAAAAUUGAAAUCUGUCGGGAGGAAAUUAAAAAUGAUGCAGCGAAUCCUUCAAUUAUUCAAGCGAUUUCCAUCGACUUUUAAAGUCGUUCGGAUAAUUAUGAACUGUAGUGUGCGUGUUCGUUGUGAAAGAAUUUACGGGGAAAACAUUUCAUUGGUUUUUGAUAGCCACUACCGAUAUGCUUAAUCUCCAGCCGACGAAAAUAUUGGCGCUUCGUUAGCCGCGAAUCCAACGAUUUACGUGACUAUCGACGCGACUCUUCGUCUCACGAAGGGAUAAGAGGAUUACAAGCGAGAAGGAUUACGGUGAAAAACAACGCGAAGCGAAUCGCACUGGGGCCGUUUAUCGGAAUUCGCCUUGCAUCCACUAACUCCUCGUUAAACGCCAUUCUUGGACAGAAUCGUAUAGCAAACAGUUUACUGUUAUAUAGUCCUCAACAAGCAAUCGUUUCUUGUAAAAUAAAGGUUUGAACAUCUGGCCAAAGUAUUACUUGUAUAAUAAGUUAGCGACCGUAAUAAGUAAGAAUUUCUUCAAGUCCUUUUAAAGUCCCAAAACAAUAAGAAGUCAGACCAGGGAUUCGAAGAAUUCCAUAAUGUUGACCGUGCUAGUGAAAAAUAGGCGGAGGAUUAAGUAAAAAUCCAAAAGGUUUAACCAUGAAAUCUCGAUUGUAACAGCGUGAGCUCCGGUAAUCCAACUUGUCUGACCGUGUAAGUGACGCGCAAAAGGUCGGCGGAGGUUUAUGGUAACGGUAAACGGGGUGCUGCUCGGUAUGCCUUUCUUUAAAUACCAUAGUAUAGUUCUCGAGUGAUCGUCCCAGUUCCACGAACUCGGUGUCCGGUUCCAAGUAUGUAUAUCCGUGGAAUGCCGCUGUUCAAGCGGUCCGUAAAACUUGCAUUUUUGCAUUUCCUUCCCUUCCUUUCUCCAUCCUCUGCCAUUCCACCGCUGAAUGUUCGUAUCUCAAUGCGCCUAUCAACCUACGCGCUUCGCCUUUCGCCAACGAGAUUUCAUUCUCGGAUCGACGUUCUUCAGGGCCAAUGACUAGCAACGACCGUGUUCAACCGAUCUUUCUCGUUAUGCGAGCACUCUCUGUUUACGGUACGCUGGCUCGAGAUCGAAGACCCCUUAUCUUGCAAGUAGAUAAGGCUUAUUCAUCGUGCAGGACAAAGCUAACAACUGCGCGAGACGUUUGGCAAGAGUCUGCGACGAUGAUGACGAGGCUGAGUCACGUGGUUAGAAGACGGAGAACGAUACGAAAGGUGGGUUGCAAAGAAUGGUAACACGGAAGCCUGAACAAGCACUCGGUUACCAUUUUAUGGUGUAUAUGAAACGAUUCGAGGAUUGCAGGAUCGAAUGUGUUAUGGGAUCAUCGGAGAAUCGAAGCUUUCGGGUCACAUGUUUGUCCAGUUCUGGAACAUUUCUUCAUUCGAUUUUACAAAUAUUUUUUAUAUUUUGAUCUAUGCUUCUUAUUUAUGAGAAAAUAGAUUAAUUCUUCUCUGGGUGUUCAGUGUGAUAACCAAAUAUAAUUGACAUACAUGUUUA